GGAUGUGAGGGCGAUCUGGCUGCGACAUCUGUCACCCCAUUGAUCGCCAGGGUUGAUUUGGCUGAUCUGGCUCGCUAGGCGGGUGUCCCCUUCCUCCCUCAGCGCUUCCCUCCCGAAGCUGAAGACGCGCUCGGUCGAAGAGAACGACCUUCCCGAAUAGAGGAGGACCGGUCUUCGGUCUUCGGUCAAGGGUAUAUGAUUAGCUGCGCUCCCCUGCUAGAACCUCCAAACAAGCUCUUGAAUAUACUUGAAUAAUCAGAUAUGUAAACAUGUACAUGAUUACAUUUUCUUUUUUGUUCCUAUUAUUUAUUUAA
rfam:Cricetulus griseus cell line CHO-K1, whole genome shotgun sequence.